UGGCCGAUACAUACAGUAACACGUACACUAUACCUACAUACAUUUACACAACACAUAACUGUUAUUACUAUCUAUUUACUAUUUAUUAUUAUCUAUAAUAUAUAUUGUCUUACACUACAAUAACUACAAUAUUAAUAUUCACACUUAACUAUAUUAAUUAAAACACACUUAUACACAAACAUACAGAUUAAUAUUAACAAUAAUCCCACAUAAAAUAUUCAGUAUUGUGCAGUGGAAAUCCACCGCUUGUAACCGGUGAAUAUUGCGCCUGCGCAGAACGAAUAUCGUUCAACGACCCGCGCCCGCGCCGGUACAGCAUCGUGUCUUGAUCAUUCUCCGCGAAGCCCGUGUCGCUUGUCUAUAAGAUUUACCUACUUUGCAACUGUCGUGUCGUAAUAUCUGUACCUCUAAUUACUGUGUUUUCUCCUUCUUUCUAUAUUGUAAUGGUUUAACUUCAUGUGUAUCAGUCUACUUAAUGUGUGUGUGAAUUGUUAAAGUAUAUUAAACUGUCAUAGUGUUAGAA